UCACUUGUCUUUUAAAUAAAGACUAGUAUGAACGGCUAAAUGAGGACAAACCUGUCUCUUACAACCAAUCAGUGAAACUGAUCUCCCAGUUAAAAAGCUGGGAUAAUAACAUAAGACGAGAAGACCCUGUGGAGCUUCAAACCACCCAUUAACAAGCAAGUAUAUUGCACCUAAUGUACCGUUUUAAGUUGGGGCGACUUUGGAACAAAACAAAACUUCCAAGCACAGAGCCACACACUCCAACCAAGGCCAACAAGCCAAAGUUAUAAACACAGACCCAGUAACCACUGAUCAACGAACCAAGUUACCCCAGGGAUAACAGCGCCAUCUUCUUCAAGAGUCCAUAUCGACAAGAAGGUUUACGACCUCGAUGUUGGAUCAGGACACCCAAAUGGUGCAGCAGCUAUUAAUGGUUCGUUUGUUCAACGAUUAACAGUCCUACGUGAUCU
rnacentral:rRNA from 1 species